rnacentral:misc_RNA from 1 species
GAUGAAGAACGUAGCGAAAUGCGAUAAGUAGUGUGAAUUGCAGAUUUCAGUGAAUCAUCGAAUCUUUGAACGCAACUUGCGCCCUCUGGUAUUCCGGAGGGCAUGCCUGUUUGAGUGUCAUGAAACCUCAAUCCCCCAGGGUUCUGCUCUGUUGGGUGAUUGGAUUUGGGCGUUGCCGGCCUGGCCGGCUCGCCUUAAAGGCGUUAGUGGGAUCAGUAAACCCGAUCGGCGUAAUAAGUUUCGCUGAGGAGGUUUGCGCGAGCCCGCUCACAACCCUCUCCUUUGGAGAACACUCUUUUGAUCUGACCUCAAAUCAGGUAGGACUACCCGCUGAACUUAAGCAUAUCAAUAAGCGGAGGA